GGGGCCGCGGCGCGCCGGCUCCCGCCCGCGACAGCCGGGGUGCCGCGGGGCUGGGCGCCGUGCCCUGCGCCCUGCUGGGGUCCCUGCCCGGGCUCGGGGCUGCUUCCCCUGCUCCGGAAAGGCCUGGCCUCUGCCAGCCCUCUGGGGCUGGCCCGGAGAGCCUUGACUAGGCGAUGAUGAGCCCCUCUGGAUCGGAGCACCCCAGGACUGGGGCCAGACCACCAGGGGUGAUUUGCUGACAGUGCCUUUCUCUAAAGCCAUGGGCCUGAGGUUCAUCUCUCAGUACCACCAUCUGCCCUCCACCACCAGCCCGCAUCCAGCCUACAACACGGGAUCACUCCAGACUCCAGGAGGGCUGGAGAUGCAGAAAGAAGGAAGACCCCAGGCGCUUGCAGUGACUUCUGGAGAGUGGGGACGAUUAGGAGACAAAUGUCAUUUACCUGGUUCCAGUGUGAUUCCACGACAGAGACCAGAAGUUGCCACUUUGUCACUGCGCCGAGCAUCACAUCCUCUCCUCACUGCUUGUGCUAAAU